AAAUGCUCCAAGGGGAAAAUCAGGAAGUGGAAUUUUGGGAUCAGUUUUAUGGCUAUCCCUUUUCCCCAGGAUCAUGGUCUUUCAAUCCUGAUUGCUUCAGGAAAAAAGAUGAAGGAAAGAAAAUUAAGGAAAAGAAGAAAACAAGCAAAAAUGCUCAGCAAAGAUGUCAUGGCAUAAUAGUCCAUUAUGCCUCCAAUUGAGCCGUCAUGAACUAUCAAAGAAAUAAUUGCACAAUAGACCAUAAUGGCUUAAUCGUGUCAACAUCUUUGCCAUUUACAUAUUUUUUUAAUCAAUGGAAAUUAAGUACAAAAAUG
ensembl:lncRNA